AUGGACCUUCUCUAUAAAGACACAGGCUGCAGAUCCCAGCCCAGCCUAUCUCAGCCUCCAUCAGAGUCUGUGUCUCUAGGACAAACAGUCAAUCUGCCCUGCAGCAUGAGUGGGGACACCAUCAGUAGUUAUAUAGUGUUCUGGUACCAGCAGCGACCUGGAACAGCCCCACGAUACCUUCUCUACUACCUCAGCAGCAGUACAAGCAGGGGGUCUGGGAUCCCCGAUCGGUUCUCUGGGACCGAGGACAGUUCAAAGUACUAUUUAACCAUCUCUGGUGUCCAGGCAGAAGAUGAAGCUGAUUAUUACUGUCAAGUGUGGGACAGCAGUGCAGAAGUACACAAUGAUGCAAUUACAGCAGGAACUGAAACAGAAACUGUCUACAUCAUCAGAUCUCUGUACAGCUGGACUACAGAGCGAGGUUUUCAUAACAAAGAAUGA